CGGAAGCUGAACGGACCGACGGAGGUGGCGUGGAUGAGCAGCAGCCGCCUGAGCAGUGAGGAAACCCCGCGGACAGCGCGAUGGAGCCUCACACUGUUGCCCAGGCUGGAGUGCCACAGCACGAUCUCGGCUCACUGCAAUCUCUGCUUCCCAGGUUCAAGCGAUUCUCCUGCCUCAUCCUCCCGAAGAUCUGGGACUACAGAAACAUGAACACAGCCCUGAUCAAGCGGAACCGAUACACUCCCGAAACAGGCAGAAAAUCCUAAACACACUUGCAGCACCAGCCAGCAAAGCUGCACUCACAGCGUCGGGAACCGGAGGUGGCUGGGAGAACCGGGAAUAAACGACGGGACACACGUCCAGCCUUCCUGAGUUCAAGCGCCCUGAAUUCACCCACCAGCACACCCAUGGGGGAGACGGGCACUUUUGUAUGUGACACGGGCCCCCAAUGAGAAAAGCCUGGGGUGCUCUCCCUAGAGCUGACACGUGUACACGCAUGCAAAACCCAGCCCUGGGACUGAUGGGCUCUAGGCCCCGACAAAGGAGCACAGGAGGCCUAUUCCAUUUCAGUACAAUGGGUUCCGUGAUUGGCCAAGGCUGGGCUCAGUCCUACACCAGACUGACAGCUUCCUCACCCUCCCACGCUUGGGUUUAAAGACAUGUCCACAGGAAGAUGCACCAUCAGUCAACGGCUGCUGUUAGGAGAAACAGGAACAGCACUGACCACACGGCGAGCACAGGACACGGCCAACCCGGCAAGCACGAAAACAUGAGAGUGAAGCCUACAGUGAGUCUCGGAAUUCCAGACCACGGGCCAGGUGCUAUGGCUCACACCUGUCGUCCCAGCACUUUGGGAGGCUGAGGCAGGAUGAAUGCUUGAGCCCAGGAGUUUGAGACCAGCCUGGGCAACACAGCGAGACCCUGUCUGUACAAAACAUGUUUUAAAAAUGGAAACAAAAAGUCGGGAGCGGUGGCACACACCUGUCAUCCUAGCACUUUGGGAAGCCGAGACGGGUGGAUCACUUAAGCUCAGGAGUUCGAGACCAGCCUGGGCAACAUGGACAAACCCCGUCUGUACUAAAACUUAA
rnacentral:lncRNA from 10 species